UACGUAGGUCCCGAGCGUUGUCCGGAUUUAUUGGGCGUAAAGCGAGCGCAGGUGGUUUAUUAAGUCUGGCGUAAAAGGCAGUGGCUCAACCAUUGUAUGCAUUGGAAACUGGUAGACUUGAGUGCAGGAGAGGAGAGUGGAAUUCCAUGUGUAGCGGUGAAAUGCGUGGAUAUAUGGAGGAACACCGGUGGCGAAAGCGGCUCUCUGGCCUGUAACUGACACUGAGGCUCGAAAGCGUGGGGAGCAAACAGG
rnacentral:rRNA from 1 species